UACAGAGGGUGCGAGCGUUAAUCGGAAUUACUGGGCGUAAAGCGCACGUAGUCGGCUUUGCAAGUCGGUUGUGAAAUCCCCGGGCUCAACCUGGGAACUGCAUCCGAGACUGCAUUGCUAGAGUAUGGGAGAGGGAAGCGGAAUUUCUGGUGUAGCAGUGAAAUGCGUAGAUAUCAGAAGGAACAUCAGUGGCAAAGGCGGCUUCCUGGACCAAUACUGACGAUCAGGUGCGAAAGCGUGGGGAGCAAACAGG
rnacentral:rRNA from 1 species